rnacentral:rRNA from 1 species
CAAGUCGCACGGUGGCAGCAAUGCCACAGUGGCGAACGGGUGAGUAAUGAAUCGCUAACGUACCCCGGACUCCGGGAUAGCCAUCCGAAAGGGUGGGUAAUACCGGUUGACGUGCCGCCAGGGCAUCCUGGAGGCCCCAAAGGUCCGCCGGUCUGGGCGCGGGCGAUUUCGUAUCAGCUAGUUGGUGCGGGUAACGGCCCACCAAGGCGACGACGCGUAGCCGGACUGAGAGGUCGGCCGGCCACAUCGGGACUGAGACACUGCCCGGACUCCUACGGGGGGCUGCAGUAACGAAUCUUCCCCAAUGCACGAAAGUGUGAGGGAGCGACGCCGCGUGUGGGACGAAGUCCUUCGGGAUGUAAACCACUGUCAGGGGAUACCAAGUUCUGAGGAUCCCCAGAGGAAGGGGCGGCUAACUCUGUGCCAGCAGCCGCGGUAAGACAGAGGCCCCGAGCGUUAGGCGGAAUCACUGGGCUUAAAGCGUGUGUAGGCGGACCGGUAAGUACCUUGUGAAAUCCCACGGCUCACCCGUGGAACUGCUGGGUAUACUGCCGGUCUUGGGCCAACUAGGGGCGACUGGAACAAGCGGUGGAGCGGUGAAAUGCGUAGAUAUCGCUUGGAACGCCGACGGUGAAAACAGGUCGCUUGGGGUUGUGCCGACGCUGAGACACGAAAGCCAGGGGAGCGAACGGGAUUAGAUACCCCGGUAGUCCUGGCCCUAAACGAUGUCCACUAGAUUGCGGCGGGUUUUGACCCCGUCGCGGUCGGA